CUCGGCCAUACCAAAUCCUGCAUAUUGGUGCUUCAAGAUGUCUACGUCUAGACAGCAAUGGGACCUUAGAACGAGGACUAUGGCCAAAUCACCCCCUCUCAACACGACACAGCAUCAAGCACGACGUCAGGAGAAACACUCCAAGCAGGAGAGAGACAAUGCUGCGCUGCUUCUGAGAAACGUUGCAGUAAAACGGUGAUGAAUUGUCAUGAAAUUGGAUAUGGUGAGUGUGCAGAGUGGUGUGACUUCAAAGUCAAUCCCGCAGUCAUAGUCGGAAUGUUCUCCUCCGUGUGGUUGAGGACACUCUGCUUUCACAACGCUGAUACGCCGUUGUCCUUGGCUACAUGAUGUAGCAGGACAACCGCGUACGUUAAACAAAUACCAGGCCAAUCCGCGGCGACGAUGGCAGGGCUGCAACACAGGAAGUGCAAUUUUUAAUCCCAGAUCGUCAUCCUCGGCAAAGCUUCUCUAUCUUCGCCUUGGGACAUGGUGCUCAAUGUUUGUUCCUUAGAAGUAUUAUUUUGCAAAACACAAUAUUCAAAGAGCUGUGAGAUGACAGACAGCUGAGCUCUAUCAUUUGUCCACAUAUCCAUCUAUGUAGUGAGCAGCGUACCAUUUCCUUUGUCACAGUGCCUUGUAUCUCAUAUUCAGUUAUGUUUGCUCAGAGAACAAAGCGUCCCCACUGCUCCAGUCCCUUUUUUCGGUGGUUUGCCUAAAAGCAUCUCUUUUUUUUUUCAUACACAGGGAAGCGGUGCUAGUGCCAGUGGUGUGCACUCGCACAUUGUGACAGAGCAAGCAGAGACGUAAAGAAGCAUCAGACUCUUAUGUACCGAAUGGAAUUGACCUGAUGAUGAUAUUUUUUUAUGAUGAUGUAUGAUAAUUUUGUGUGAGAGGGGCUUUAAGUGGCGGCGAGAGAAAAACAACAGUCCAAGUUCAGCCAGUAUAUCAAAACGUCAUACUGAAUGCUAGUGAUGGACACCAGCCACAACAAGAUAAUAGGCUCAUUAAUGCUCAAAAAUUGUUGACAGCUGCUACCAAUUUGUCAUUGUGGAUAAUAUGACUUCUUUUAACCCGACAUAUUGCACCACAAAACACUGAAACCAGCCCAAAGCAAAAUCAUCUCCUCCUUUCUACACACACAAAAUAAAAGGUGGCUUGCAAUUGAGUGCUGUGCAAAUGGUGUCAAAAGUGAUUUGUCCGUGGCCGCACACUGGUAGCUAACCAGUCCUGAGGCUUUCAGAUAGAAACAAGCCCCCGGAAUUUAGAAGUGAACAUUGAUAGCUUCUGACAAUUGGCCAGCACUGGUUGUAAAUCUUUGUCACAAAUACUUACACUGAGCAUCAAAUCUCGUAUGGCUUGGUGUUAUUGGUCUAGCACUUGCGAUACCAACACCAGUAUCUGCUCCAUAUUGGCUAAUUAUACAUAAAAAAGAUCAAAGUGCAUACGCUUUUAUUAAUGAAAUAGCGUGCACGCACUGUGAGGUAAUUCAUCACAUGUUGAAGGGAAUUUAGCAUUAAAGGUGAAGGAAAUAACGCACAGAUGAAUAUUCCUAUACAUUAGAUGUAACUCCUGUACUUGGCCUGCUACCCUGCUGGCAAGGGAUGUUAUCUUCUCAUGCAAUAAUAAUAAUCGAGCUAUCAUAACGUUUUUUAGCAUUGAGCAUAAAAACGUAUUGAAUAGGGAUGUAA